CGAUGGGGAGCGAUGGGGAGCGAUGCAGAGCGGCAGAUGAAGCUUCGCUUGCUCGCUAGCCCACCCGCCUGCCUGCCCACCUGCCCGCCCGCCGCUCACCUCCUACUGUGCAGCCCGGUUUCUAACAGGCUGCAGACUGGUACCGGUCCGUGGCCUGGGGGUUGGGGACCCCUGCUCUAAGUUAUUACAUUUGUGGGCAUAGAGUUGUUCAUAGUAUUCCUUUAUUAUCUUUUUAAUGCCCAUGGGAUCCGCAGUCAUGUCCCCUUUUCAUUUUGGAUAUUAGUAAUAAUGUGUCCUCUCUCUUUUUUUUCUUAGCUCAGCUAGUGGUUUACUGAUGAUCUUUUCAAAGAACUAUCUUUUGGUUUCUUGAUUUUCUCUAUUUCUUGUUUUCAACUUCAUUGAUUUCUCCUCUAAUUUUCAUUAUUUCUUUUCUUCUGCUUACUUUGGAACUAAUAUGCUCUUCUUUUUUUAGUUUCCUGAAGUGGAUGCUUAGAUUAUUGAGUUCAGAUAUUUUUUCUUUUCUAAUACAUGCAUUCAAUGCCAUUAAUUUCCUUCUAAGCACUGUUUUCGCUGCAUCUCACAAAUUUUGAUGUUGUAUUUUCAUUUUCAUUUAGUUCAAAACAUGUCUUAAUUUCUCCUUUGGUCUAUGUGUUAUUUGGGAAUGUGUUAUGUAAUCUCCAGGUGUUUGGGGAUUUUCCAGUUCCUUUUCUGUUACUGAUUUCUUAUUUAAUUCUGUUGUGGACUGAGAGCAUACAUUGUAUGAUGUCUGUUCUUUUAAAUGUGUUAACGUAUGUUUUAUCGCCCAGAAUGUUGUCUAUCUUGGUGAAUGUUCCAUGUGAACUUGAGAAGAAUGAAUAUUCUUCUGCAUGAAGUAGUCUAUAGAUGUCUAUUAUAUCUGGUUGAUUGAUGGUUUUGUUGAGUUCAGCUAUGUCCUUUUCUGCCUUUUGGAUGUGUCCAUUUCUGUCAUAGGGGUGGUGAAGUCUGCAGCUAUAAUAGUGGAUUCAUCUGUUUCUUUUUGCAGUUCUAUCAGUUUUUCCUUCGUGUAUUUUGAAGCUCUGUUAUUAGUCACGUGUGAAUGGGAGCAGCAAGAUGGCACAGGCUGUGAGGGAGUGACAUGGUGGCAGUCUGGAGUUGGCUCCCCAGCAAAUUUGCAUUUUACCAGCUUUCCGCACUGUGUCAUUUGUGGGCUGAGGCACCUGCGAAGAUCACUGCCUCCUCACAGGAGCCCAAGUGAGGAAACAGCCAAUGCAUUUGUGUAGGCCUCCUCUAUGGCCUGCUACAACUUCAGCAGUCUUUGGACGAUGGGGAGCCAGACCGACAAGGCACCUGCCUCAGGCCACUCUGGCCUUGGCCAGAGGACCAGGUGGGAGGGCGCUGGACUGGGCUUAUUCCUGGCAUCCUGAGGUCAUCGCUGCUCCUGCCUGAGGCCCUGUCCCUUGACUGGUGGCUGUGCUUUUAUGCAGGCCCUGGGGAAGAGAAUCUGGAAAGCCAGCCUCACAGGUAAUGAAAACAGACUGCUUCUGGCAAUGGAGUAGCUUACAGCAGACCAGUGCCUGAUGAGGACUCAAGGAACUGACCAUAAUUCAGAAAGCAUCUGCUUGUAUGACUGGAGCACUACCCCAUCACCUGUAACUCAGAGGGGAGCUUGAAGAGCAGUGAAAGGAGAAAAUUGGCACCGAAGAGUAUCAAUUCUUGAUUCUUGGCAGAAUUCCUGUUGUCUUUGUGAAAGUCAAGUUUCAGAAUGAGGGGUGCCAGGCUGAUGGGGGUGCUACUCACCCUGGCUGGCCUGCUGCAGCAGACCCUGUCCCUGAGAAUAGCAGCCUUCAACAUCCAGACUUUCGGGGAGACCAAGAUGUCCAAUGCUACCCUCUCCAACUACAUUGUACAGAUCCUGAGUCGCUAUGAUAUCGCCCUCAUCCAGGAGGUCAGAGACAACCACCUGACGGCCGUAGGAAGGCUGCUGGACAAACUCAACCAGGAUGACCCAAACACCUAUCACUUUGUGGUCAGUGAGCCGCUGGGACGCAACAGCUAUAAGGAGCGCUACCUCUUCCUGUUCAGACCCGACCAGGUUUCCGUGCUGGACAGCUACCAGUACGAUGAUGGCUGUGAGCCCUGUAGGAAUGACAGCUUCAGCCGAGAGCCAGCUGUGGUCAAGUUCUCCUCCCCCUUCACACAGAUCAAGGAGUUUGCCAUUGUUCCCCUGCAUGCGGCCCCAUCGGAUGCGGUGGCUGAGAUCGACUCUCUCUAUGAUGUCUACCUGGAUGUCUGGCAGAAGUGGGACUUGGAGGACAUCAUGUUGAUGGGUGAUUUCAAUGCUGGCUGCAGCUACGUGACCCCCUCGCAGUGGUCAUCCAUCCGCCUGCGCAGGAGCCCCCCCUUCCAGUGGCUGAUUCCUGACACUGCCGACACCACCGUUACAUCCACGCACUGUGCCUACGACAGGAUCGUGGUUGCAGGACCUCUGCUCCAAGAUGCUGUGGUUCCCAACUCAGCUGCUCCCUUUGACUUCCAAGCUGCAUACGGAUUGAGUGACCAGAUGGCCCUAGCCAUCAGCGACCAUUACCCGGUAGAGGUGAUGCUGAAGAGAGCCUGACGUGAGUGGGGCCUGGCCAGCGACCUCCGCUCUGCAGCCUGUCGCCAAGAACUGAGACGACACAGCCAAAGGCUAGGGACAGAGUUUAGGAAACCAGUGCCUGGUCCUGAGUGCUCCUGCCCCUCCCCACCACCGUGGCAGCUGGAAUUAGAGGAAGGGUCCACUUCCAGGUCCUACAGCAACUAUUUGAAGACCCGCCAGGACUGGCCACCCCAUUGCCCCUGGCCCAGCCUCUUCCUCAAUCUUGUGUCCGUCUUUACUGCAGACGGUGCUCUCACCCACCGCUCCCUGUGGCUCCCUCUGGCCUUUACUUCAUCAAAUACACCUUUUCUCACCGAGCCCCACAGGCUUCAGGCCUCCUGACUUACGCCAGAGACUCUCCUGGGCCUGCUGGGCCCAUGGCUGCCCCCUUCCCGGCAGCACAGUAAGGAUCCAGCUCCACGACUUCCUGACCUGCGGAAGCGCUCUGCCUGUUUCCUUCAUAGGAUACGGACGAGAAUUCUACCUACCUCCUAGGCCACCUUAAAUGAGUCACUGCUGUAAAGCAUGGACACGAUAUGUGUGUUACAUAGAGAAACCCCAGCCACACACCUUGCUCCCUGCCAGGAAGCCCUCGCCUCCCUCAGAGACCCACUGCUACCUCCCAUGGAGCCCCCAGGUCUGCCCUCCUCUGCUCUCAGCCUUCCCUACCCUGCACACCUGCCUGUCCCUUUGGGGCCACUCCUGAACAUGUCCCUCAGCCAGUGACACCUGUUCCCUGGUGACUGUCUUUUCUCUUGCAGCUCAGAGCUGGAUCAGUGGGUUCCUAGCUCAUUAAAGCCUACCCAGAACCCCCACUGAGAACCCAAGCUGGACCGUACGCCCUUGUGUCCUCAGCCACUGCAGCUCCUCUAGGCCUGGACGAGGAUGGCCCUGGGGAGGCCAACUGGGGACACCUCCUCUCUGCUUCUGCCUGCCCACCAGGCCCUCAGCAGCUCACCUUCCACUUUCUUCAUUCCAACUGCUCUACAAAGUGGAGGCGAAGCCAAGCUUGCCCGCCCGACCUCAGUAACUCCCCGGGCACAUGUGGCUACGUGCUCACGAGCGCACACAUGCAGGAGCAGCAGCAACCAGAGCCGGCAGGCUGGCCAGCUGUGCAGUCACCAAGGGCCAUGGUGGUUGGGUGGUGGCCCGUCUUUGGGAGGCCUCACCUUCACGUUGGUGACACGGGACCCUAGCGCGUUUCUCAUCCAGGCCAUCAGGUCCUCUGUCUCCUUCUCUGACAGACGGUCGCCAGCUACAGGAGAGCAGAAGGGUGAGCUUGGAGGCCGUCUCCACAACUCCCUCCCCAUAGGCUCCCAUCGGCAGGCUCCCUCCACCCUGCCAGCCACUGGCACAACGACAGAAGCUACCAGAACACUCUUCAUCUAAAAUUAAGCAGAUAAAUUUGGACCCCAGAAAGGAUACUUUUGAUUGCCUGAGGCCCAUAUAAUUUUGUUAGGGCUUUAAAAUGUCUGAUUCUCUUAAGCUUUAUCAAUCUUAGGAAGGCAAGCUGUGAAAAGAAAACCCCAUAUAGACCCACUGUUGCAGAACGAAGAGGCCGUGUAGCAAACAGUGCCAGCUCCCUGGGCCUGCCUGGCCUCACCUGCACCCCAGGCCACCAUCCACACCUGUGCCCAGAGAGAAGGGAAGCAAGCCGACCUGGGGAGCCGUCCUCAAACUUCUCCUCCUUGUAGUGGUCAACAACGAUGUCCGUUUCCACAGACAUCAGCUUCUUCUUGUCAAACUCACGAAGGUGGAGCAAGGUCAGCUCAUCAAACUGCUCGUAGCAGAAGAGAACCUGUGAUGACCCGAAAUGGCUUCCAUCAGGCCCGGGGAACCCUCUGCCCGUGACAAGAGAGGGACACGGAGCAGGGGCUGGGGCUGCGGGCUGGGCCCAGCAUCUGAGGGCCAUGCAGGGGGUGCUGGGGUUCCUGGGCCUUGUGGACGCAGUGGUUUACAGACGGCUCUCAGGGAGGCUCUGGCUCUAUCUUAGAAGCAGUGAUGCUAUUUAUAGAGAAAUCUCUGUGUCACCUCCUAGAAAGACCCAAACUAGUAGGCAGGCUUCAGCCUGGCCUCUGUGACCCUGGAUGCUGACUCUCACUGCUCCGCUCUCCCGAAUCGUGGGCACAUUCAGCCAUUCCCCAGUGAGCAUGGGGACCCUCCUUCAGUGGUCAGACCCCCUCGCCCUCUGACCUGGCCCCAAGGGAAGGACAAGUGCAGGGAGGCCCGGUAGGGGCCAAGCCUGCCCCUUGGCUCACCCACCUCUGUGUUUUUCCACUUCAUGGCCUCAUAGUAGGGCGAGUGCUCCGCCAGGUGCCGGUUGGGGGCGCACAGGUAGUAGAUACUGCGGGUGCCGGCCUGCAUGCGGCUGGCGUAGUCUGGGAGGCUGGUCAGCUGCCCAGCAGGCAGUGCCGACGACUCGUACCGCAGCAGCUUUGCAAUAUCCUCCUGUAGACAGACAGAGGCCAGGUCAUUGCUCAUUCCAGGUCCUGGCUCUGAAAGCCUCCCGACAGCGGGGCACAGACUUCAGGAGCCUUCAGCUAAGGGAGGAAAGGCUCUGGCUGGCCUCACACCCGCCUGGUGACCAUGUCCUGCAGCCAAGGCAGCUCCUUUGGGAGCCUGGUCCAGGGACGGCGCCCUGGGCUGGCUCGGGCCCUGGGGAGCUCUGAGGGACUCCAGUGCUGUCCAUUGGGCCCCAUGUCAGAAGUUCAGGGGACCUCGGAAAGCACAUUCCACCACAGGUGGCCCAGGGCCUUGCUGAGAGGGCCUUUCCAGGUGAGCUGCAAAAACGGUCCCAGGAGUGGCUAGGCCCUGUCCGUGGCAGAGCCCACUCUGGACCCAGCAUCCUCCCUCUGUCUCGAGUCACCGACCCUGGCUCUCGCCAAGCAGGGGACACGGGUGUGAAGUCCACACUUCCCAGCCUUCCUCACAGCCAGGGGACGAGUCCUGGCCCAGGGGGUACAAGCCUAAGUGGGGUGUGUGACUCAGAGAACAGGCCCUGAAAGGAGGGGCUUGUCCAUCUGCUCCUGUCGGCUGAGAUGCUGGUGGCAUCUAGACUCCAUGAGGGAGUCGCUUGUAAGGACAGAAGCAGCAACAGGCUGGGGUCCAGCUCCCUGAUGCACCAGCCUGGACAUGACCUGACAGUAAACUGCCUCGUCUAUGCCACCGACUCAUCUCCAACAACCCAUGGUGCCCAGAGGGGAGGUCCAGAUGAGAGAGUGAUGUGGUGGGGAUGAAAGGGGGACGAACAGGCAAAACCAGGGAUCUGGGAGCCCACCCGGCGAGCCAGGCUCUAGGUUCAUAGGUUAAGCUCAUGCUCUUGUGCAUGUUACGGAUCCUCAUUAACUGAGUAAGGGGCCUUCCCUGGUGAUGCAGUGUUUAAGAAUCCGCCUGCCAAUGCAGGGGACACAGGUUCGAGCCCUGGUCCGGGAACAUCCCACGUGCCGCGGAGCAACUAAGCCCGUGCACCACAACUACUGAGCCUACUUUCUACAGCCCGCGUGCCACAACUACUAAAGCCCGUGUGCCUAGAGCCUGUGACCUGCAACGAGGAGCCACCACAACGAGAAGCCGGUCCACCACAACGAAGAGUAGCUCCCGCUCGCCACAACUAGAGAAAAGUCCACGUGCAGCAACAAAGACCCAAAUCAGCCAAAAAAUAAAUAACUUUAUUUAUUUAUUUAUUUAAAAAACCCCUGAGUCAGUCAGUGUUUAUAAAGCACUCAGAAAAGCCUCUGGCACCACCUGGGUCCCGCUACCUACAAACACAGAGAGGAAUGAGUGGAGAGUCCGAGCAGGCAGCACUUGGAGCCACUGGAGUCCUUGUGCCAACAACCGGGGUUAGGAGGACCCAGGGUGAUGAGGGCCUGGGGGGAGCAGGCUGGUAGCCGCAGUGCCCAGGCCCCAUCCCACCCUCCCUCAUGGCCUGCAGAACAAACCCUGGGACCCCAGACGGUUGGUCACUCUCCUUCCCUGCUGCUGUUCUGGAGCAAAAGACGAAACGCCGGCGCUAAGAGUGACAAAAGACUUGUGUCUUUUGGGAGUGAUGGAAAUGUUCCAGAACCAGAUGGUGGUGGACGUACAACCUGUGAAGGUACUAAAUGAACUGUUCACUUUAAGAGAGUGAAUUUUAUUGUAUGGGAACUGUAUCACAACUUAAAAGUGGCCAAUAAAUGUUUAUGGAACAAUCUCAUCAUUUUUAAGUUAUUGCGCAAUUAACCCAGUGGCACAGUGUUGAUGGAUUUCUACCGAUCACAUGAUGAACUGCCCUGACUACAUAUACCUCACCUGCCCUCCCCACCCCGUGAACCAGGCACCUCUCCU